rnacentral:rRNA from 1 species
CACAAGCAGCGGAGCAUGUGGUUUAAUUCGAAGCAACGACGAAGAACCUUACCAGAUCUUGACAUCCAAUUGACCAUCUUUUAAUCGAGAUUUUGCCUCGGGUACAAUUGAGACAGGUGGUGCAUGGUUGUCGUCAGCUCGUGUCGUGAGAUGUUGGGUUAAGUCCCGCAACGAGCGCAACCCUUGUGUUUAGUUGCAAACAGGUCAAGCUGUGCACUCUAGACAGACUGCCGUGGACAACACGGAGGAAGGUGGGGAUGACGUCAAAUCAUCAUGCCCCUUAUGAUCUGGGCUACACACGUGCUACAAUGGCCGGUACAACGGGCAGCGAAGGAGCGAUCCGGAGCGAAUCCUAGAAAGCCGGUCCCAGUUCGGAUUGCAGGCUGAAACUCGCCUACAUGAAGUUGGAGUUGCUAGUAAUCGCGAAUCAGAAUGUCGCGGUGAAUGCGUUCCCGGGUCUU